GUCUACGGCCAUACCACCCUGAACGCACCUGAUCUUGUCUGAUCUCGGAAGCUAAGCAGGGUCGGGCCUAGUUAGUACUUGGAUGGGAGAAAAUACAUGUCCAAGGUGAUCUGAAAGAGUUGUGGACA
ensembl:rRNA 5S_rRNA 5S ribosomal RNA